GGGUUGUGAGGUUAAGCGACUAAGCGUACACGGUGGAUGCCCUGGCAGUCAGAGGCGAUGAAGGNCCGAAUGGGGAAACCCAGUGUGACUCGUCACACUAUCAUUAACUGAAUCCAUAGGUUAAUGAGGCGAACCGGGGGAACUGAAACAUCUAAGUACCCCGAGGAAAAGAAAUCAACCGAGAUUCCCCCAGUAGCGGCGAGCGAACGGGGAGGAGCCCAGAGCCUGAAUCAGCAUGUGUGUUAGUGGAAGCGUCUGGAAAGGCGCGCGAUACAGGGUGACAGCCCCGUACACAAAAGCGCAUAUGCUGUGAGCUCGAUGAGUAGGGCGGGACACGUGGUAUCCUGUCUGAAUAUGGGGGGACCAUCCUCCAAGGCUAAAUACUCCUGACUGACCGAUAGUGAACCAGUACCGUGAGGGAAAGGCGAAAAGAACCCCGGCGAGGGGAGUGAAAAAGAACCUGAAACCGUGUACGUACAAGCAGUGGGAGCCCCACCACUAAGCCAGUGGUGAACUCCACAUACGCAUCCUUUGCUGAGGAUACGGUUAACGGAGCGAAAGCGACGUUCAACCGCAAAAGAAGCAGAGGGGGCUUAGUGGUGGGGUGACUGCGUACCUUUUGUAUAAUGGGUCAGCGACUUAUAUUCUGUAGCAAGGUUAACCGAAUAGGGGAGCCGGAGGGAAACCGAGUCUUAACCGGGCGUUAAGUUGCAGGGUAUAGACCCGAAACCCGGUGAUCUAGCCAUGGGCAGGUUGAAGGUUGGGUAACACUAACUGGAGGACCGAACCGACUAAUGUUGAAAAAUUAGCGGAUGACCUGUGGCUGGGGGUGAAAGGCCAAUCAAACCGGGAGAUAGCUGGUUCUCCCCGAAAGCUAUUUAGGUAGCGCCUCGUGAAUUCAUCUCCGGGGGUAGAGCACUGUUUCGGCUAGGGGGCCAUCCCGGCUUACCAACCCGAUGCAAACUGCGAAUACCGGAGAAUGUUAUCACGGGAGACACACGGCGGGUGCUAACGUCCGUCGUGAAGAGGGAAACAACCCAGACCGCCAGCUAAGGUCCCAAAGUCAUGGUUAAGUGGGAAACGAUGUGGGAAGGCCCAGACAGCCAGGAUGUUGGCUUAGAAGCAGCCAUCAUUUAAAGAAAGCGUAAUAGCUCACUGGUCGAGUCGGCCUGCGCGGAAGAUGUAACGGGGCUAAACCAUGCACCGAAGCUGCGGCAGCGACACUCAGGUGUUGUUGGGUAGGGGAGCGUUCUGUAAGCCUGUGAAGGUGUGCUGUGAGGCAUGCUGGAGGUAUCAGAAGUGCGAAUGCUGACAUAAGUAACGAUAAAGCGGGUGAAAAGCCCGCUCGCCGGAAGACCAAGGGUUCCUGUCCAACGUUAAUCGGGGCAGGGUGAGUCGACCCCUAAGGCGAGGCCGAAAGGCGUAGUCGAUGGGAAACGGGUUAA
rnacentral:rRNA from 1 species